CGUCAUGUCACGGCGAUCAAACAUGUCUGUGUGCGCUUCGCUGCUGUGACUUCCUGAUUCUCCGCCGCUCGCGCGCGCACACACACUCCCAGCCACUCGAACACGCCGCCCCCACCAGCCCUGGCCACCAGCCCUCGCUGGUCCUCCUCGGGCUCCGGGGGAGCGCGCCGCAGCUCCCGACGCGCUGCCGGGCGCUCACAACACACACACACACACUCACUCACUCACACUCACACACACUCGCGCCGGGCCCCAGCCGCGGGAGCUCGCCGCCCCCUCCCAGCCCUCCUCCCCACUCACAGCCCCGCCAAACUUUUUUUUUUCCUUCCUGAUCCACGUCCAACUUCCCUCCUCCCCCACACCCCGCGAGCAGCCUGGCCAAGCCCCGCGCUCACCACCAUCCGCAGCGAGCGGCAACCCGGAUAAAAAUAAUAAUGCAAUCCAGGCGAGCGGCGGCGGCGGCGGGGGCGAGCGCGCAGACACUGGCAGGAGGCGAUCUCCCCGCGUGUACCGGAAACCGGCGCGAGUGCCCCGGCCGGGGCGCGGGUCUCCCCCGGAGCCCGCACUGCUGCGCCCCGCCCCGCCCCGCGCCGCGCGACUGCGGCCGGGAGGCGAGGCCUGGAGCCGGGCAUCCGAGGCACUGCUCGGCGUGCGCCCUGGGGCCGAAAGGCGCCUGGGGGCUGGCGCUCCGGACUGGUUAUUUGGGGAAGUGCAUCGCGACACCUUUGCAGAUGGCACGGCCGUGUUUUGCAACGCAGACGGGAGGAGGGAAGACGGCCGGGUGGAGGAGCAGCGCAGAGGCGCGGGGUGACCCAGGUUGGGAUGGGAACAAGGCAAACUCGCACGCAGGGAGCGAGAAGGAAGGGGUGCGUGUCAUCCUUGGGAGGAGGCUCUCCCCGGGUCUCCCCGCCUCCCGCCCUCGUCACCCACCCCCCUCCAUUCCCUUCCCACCGCAGCCCUUCCCCUUUCCUGGCGAACGCCACCGCCGCUGCCCGGGUGCGCGCGGGUCCUGUUUGUGACAGUCAGGCAGAGAGGAUUAUCCGGAUCACGGCCUUCCCGGCCCGGAGCCGCCGCGGCUCUCCCGGAUCCCAGCGCGCCCCUAGGACCCGGACGAGCACCGGCGCCCCCGCGGCCGCGGCCGCGGCCGCAGCCUCCUCCGCGCGAUCCCCCCUCGCGGCGCCGCAGCCGCAGCCCUUUAAACAUUCCCCGGGAAGCGAGCGGCGGCCGCGUUCCUCGGCUCCCCGGCCGCCCGCCCGGGCUCCUCCGCCCUCCUUUCCCGUCCCCCUUCCAACUCUUCCGGGGAAGACGGCUCGGGAUGCAGGGUCGCACCUCCCCCCGCCCCAAACCACCCACCCACCCAGCCCCCGCCACCCGACGUUUCAGGGGAUGGUGGAACCGCAACCUGGCCGAGUGCGUGCGUGUGCGUGUGUGUUGCAACCUUGA
rnacentral:lncRNA from 1 species